rnacentral:tRNA from 1 species
UCCCUGGUGGCUCAGACGGUAAAGUGUCUGCCUACAAUGCAGGAGACCAGGGUUCAAUCCCUGGGUCGGGAA